UCCCAAGGGACUCUGCUGAUUGGUCAGGCCCCAGAAUUUUUGUCUCUAUCCUGGACUCCAGCACCCUUGAAGAAGCAACUAACAAUUUCACUUUCCAGGGAGCCCCACAGGCUCCCUACUCUGCCCAGCACGCACCCAAAGCUUCUGACCGGGACCUGGGUCCUGCCUCCUCAGAGUGGCAGCGGAAGCUGGAGGCGGCCGAGGCUCUGCUGACUCUCAGAUACUCUUCCCAGGCCCCUUCUGGCUCCACCUCCCUGCUGCAGCCCUGUGCUGCACCAGCUCCCGCUGGAGAUCGAGGACUCCAGCCUCCUAGCCCCUCUCCCAGACCCAGGCUGGUCAGCUCCAUUUCUCUGCCUAUUGGACAUCUGGGGUGCAUCUCCCUCUUGAAGUAGAAGCCCAGAGGAGGAGGCCUCGCUAGAGUACUGCUUAUUUAUGCAUUUGCAAAAUGUUUAAUGUCCAAAAUGCUUAACAUCUUUUCGUUAAACCUUCAGGUGCUUUUAUAAGCUUUCAGACCCUUUUUAUUACAUGGGGCAAUUCCUUGGCUGAGGGUGGGUAUUCUUGUACCUCCAUCCCUUACUCCCUUGGAUCCUGGGGCCUUUUUGCGUCUCUUAUAAAAACAGCGUUGUGCAAUCUAAGCCGAUCAGUCUCGAAAUAGGGUUCUGCGUGAGUUCAUACGUUCAUAUGCCAGGGUUUUUGUUUGACUCGUGAUUGCGAACAUACCAGCGCGCUCAUGUACGUACCCACGCAUGUGAAAAUAUGAGGGUGUUUUCAUCUUGUGUCUAGCUUUGUGUGUGUGGGCAAAUAAUAAACCCUUGUUGUUGUAAGGCACUGAGAUAUAGGAGUUGUUUGUGACCACAGUAUAACCUGGACUGUCCUGACUCUAACAGACUUGUUCAAUUCACUUUUCAAAGUGAGACUCACGUUACUCAACAACUGGGAUUUCUCAACAUGUCUAGAUAAGAAAAUGGCAGAGAAAAAAG